GAUGCUUGAGUACCUCAAUUGGUGCACAUAUGUCUAUAGGAGAUGAGAAGGUUGAUCCGUAUGUUCACCUGCCCCAACUUGCUUGGGACAAAAGGCUUUGUUGUUGUUGUUGUCGUUGUCGUUGACGUUGUCGUUCUUGUGGUUGCUCUUGUCAUCGUGGUUGUCGUCAUCCUCGUUGUUGUUGUUGUUGUUGUUGUCGUUGACGUUGUCGUUCUUGUUGUUGUUGUUGUCGUCGUGGUUGUCGUUGUUGUUGUCGUCAUAGUUGUGUCGUCGUCGUUGUUGUUCACCUUUCCUGUUUAUCAACUCAUGUGAAAGUUCGACGCACUGGUGAUGUUUGAGUACUUCAAUUGCUGCACCUAUGUGUAGGUGUCCUCUGCUACAGUUAUGUUCAACUGUCCUGUUCGCCCAGCUCAACUUACCUGGGACUAAAUGUUGUGUUAUUGUUCACCUCUCCUGUUUAUCAACUUAUGUUAAAGGUUUAGGCACUGGCGCACUGCCAUGCUAUGGUCCUCUUUUGCCAUACAUGUGUUGUGUGUUUGUUUAUCAGCCUAUGUUACUAGGGUUCUGCUGUAUAUUGCCCCAAGUGAAAAGUUGAAACGUUGUGGUACGGGGCGGGGGGCUUCUUAGUAGAUACUACAAACGACACAAGUAACUGGGGCUGAUUCAGAUAGAAAUUGAGAAAAAGAAGGUUUAGGGCAGAACAAGAGAGGGAUACAAUCUAAGACAUGGGUGCCUGUUCCAAAACGAAAAGGACAGUAGUUGGGUGCGACUCCUCUUUUUUUAGAGAAAAGGCUCAGCCUGAGUCUGAAGUAGGUUUGGACCUAAUCCGGCUUUGAAUUAACAAAGCCAUCAACCAGCCAUGCUUACACGAACGAAAUACGAACACACGACAAGAAACAACACGAAACACCUGAAAGAUACAAGGGAUAUCUUCGAGCAUCAAGGGAAACCCUAGAUCCGGUUUUGCGGAUCAGACGGUGACGGCACCCCGGCGUCGUUCUCCUUCGUGAAGGCGCCGUACUAUUUUGCUCGCGGUGUCCUCGGCGGUAGAUUCGAAGAUGUCAAUCGUCUUGUUGGUUUGGUUUGGGUUGCGUCCCAGUGUGGCGAGUUUAGGCGUGUUUUUUCUUCUUUGGGCUGAGCAUUCCAUGUUUCUCUGCUCCGGUCACCAUGUUCACACCUCUUGCAUUCGUGUCAUGUGUCGUACCCCCUGUACUCACUGUUAACUUCUUCUAUCAAUGGAAUGGUACGCAAGCUUUGCGUAUUUCGCGAAAAAAGAUACAAGGGGGCACUCUGCACCAUUUACAACACAUCGCAAAGCUAGUAACUAGAGAUACAGAGAUAAAGCACAACUAGCAGAAGUAGAUGACCGCACUCUCAGGUGCCAAGGACACAGAGCAGUAGAGGCAUCGCUGGGACAUCUUGAACUGAAUGGACGACAAGAACAAGGAUGAACAUUGGAAUGGUUGUGUUAGACGAUAGGCUUGUUGUGUCGUGUCAACUUGUAAACAUUGUGGUGUAUGCGUGUGACUUGUUGUACAUGGCAGGUGGUUAGGCUAGAUAGAUCUUUAUCUCCUUGUGUUUAGCUUGGAGUAGAGGUCAAGUCUAGUAAUCACCGGCCGACCCCUGUAUCUUGUGAUGGCUAUUUAACACGUACGCGUCCCUGCCAGAGAGGUAUACGCUCCCACCAGAUUCUUUCAUGGUAAUCAGAGCAGGCCUCGACAUCAUCCAUGACAAGCUCUUCCACUUCCUUGCUAUCCUCUCCAUUUGUGCACGCCGCAAUAGAUAAGCUUACGAGAGGUAACGAAGCUCUAUUGUGUGCCACCGUUCUCUCGGCAAUCAGGGGGGCUCGGAUGGCAGAGUUCCUCGAAGUCGAGCAGCCGGUGCCGCCCCAGACCAUUGAGGUCACCGGCGCCGACGGCAAGACCAAGUCCAAAGCUCCCAAUCCGGAGUUUUCCACGUGGUACGCGAGGGAUCAACAUGUGUUCUCUUACCCGCUGACCUCUUUCCCGCGCAAGAUGGCAAUUCAGGUGGCUACAUGCCACACCGCAGCAGAGCUGCGGAACACGGUGCAAGGCAUGCUCGCAUCACACACGCCUGAAAGUACAGUCAAUGUCCGGAUCGCAUUGGCGAAUCUUCAGAAGGGCAACAACAACAUCCCUAAUUACGUUGGUAAGAUUAGAGCUUUGUGUGAUGAACUAAUGGCUUCAGGGAAGAAGGUCGAUGAAGAAGAUGUUGUCUCUCACAUCCUUGCUGGACUUGACGAGGAGUUCGACCCCGUGGUCUCGGCCAUGUGCUCCAGGGUCGAACCGGUCACUGUCCCGGAGCUGUAUUCACAGAUGUUGAGCUUCGAGACUCACAUGAGUCUGCGCGGCGGAUCCUCCCGGUCAUCUGCAAACGCCGCAACUCGCGGCCGCUUCAACAAGAACAAUGGCGGCGGUGGUGACCGCGGCCGUAACUUCCCCAACAAACAGACUAGAGGCAGUGGUGAUCGCGCCCGUGGCAACUUCCCCAAGCCGCCCAACCCACCAAACCGUGUGAACGGGGGCAACAAUGACAAUGGCGGCGGUGGUGGGAACUACACCAACAAUCCCUCUGCCAAGCGGACCUGCCUCCGUCGCAUAUCCCUCCACUCCGGUGACCAUUUCUCACACGCACAACCCCUUUUCGAGCAGAGGUCGUGGGGGGCCGCGACGGCUCACCACCAUACAAGCGAGCCCGCCACGACGCUGAGGCCGGCAGCUCCAGCAACCCGAUUGAGGCAUGGCGCUUGAAGUAGGCCAGGGAGCGUCGCGCCCUCUCCCGCAACAGUGGACGGAGGGCAUGGAGCAAGUUCGAUGAGAUCGAGGAGAACCUUUGGCCGACCAGCAAGGGUCUCCGCGAGGCAAAGAUCGAGCUCCACGUGGCAAAAGAGGCGUUCGAGGCAGGAGAAGAGGGCGCCGCUGUGCGGCUCGAGGUGGCCAAGGAGGGGUACCAGCUCGCGUGUAGUCUCUACCGCUCCGCUAAGUACUACCUGAUCAAUGUCAACCCCUAGAGUAGUUUAGAGUUAGGUUUAUCUAUACUAUGUUUUUAAGCUUGUGUCUCAUGAACUCCGGCGAACUAUGGUGACAUGGAGUUUAAGUUUAAAUUAUGCAGUAUUUGUAUAUCGGAUCUGUUCUGCCGGGCGUUCCGCGGUACCAUAAAUUCAUUUUGCAGGAUUCCUAAAACGAAAAUUUGUGGUGCCGCGACAGGAUCUGCUAGAGAUGCUCUAAGGUUGCAUAUGUGAAAUUUACCAAAUUGAGGAUCACAAUUCUUAAUUUUCUUUUAAACAAUUAUUAUUAAAAAAAACAUCCUCAAUUCCUUAGGCGCUGAUGUGUUUUUUUUUGCAAUGGGGAUGCUGAUGAGUUUGCAAGGGUGUAGGUGCGUACAGCGGGCGCACACGCUUCAGUGGACCCAUUUGUCAGAGUAGUACUCCGUCUAGGGUUUCCAAUUCCAUUUCCGCUUGGGCCUGCCGGGCGCCGCCGCUGAUCCCGUCUCCACUCUCCUCGACUCCACCAAAACCACUUCGCCGAUGCUCCUCCGUUCUGGGCGGCGCCUGGUCGCCCAGGAAGAACCGGGGCGGACGGCCUCGCCGAGGAGGAGAAGCAGGGCAAGGUCGGACCGGCACCGGCUCGCCGGCAUCCCCGAUGAGAUCCUGCAGCAGGAGAUCCUGCCCCGCCUCCCGGCCAAGUCCGUGCUCCGCUGCCGCGCCGUCUGCCGGUCCUGGCGCAGCCUCGCGUCCGACCCCGCCUUCCUCCUCGACCACCACCGCCGCCAGCCGGCGCUUCCCCUGAUCAGGUCCUGCCGGAUCUCCGACGUGUCCGGCCGCGGCCUUGAAUCCCGCCUCAACGCCAUCCACCUCCGGUCCGCGAAGCUCGGCCCCUCUUUCCAGUUCCCAUUCGGUGGCUCUUUCGCCAUCAGCGCCUCCUGCGACGGCCUUUUCGUCGUCUUCAACUACAUCAUCUGCAACCCGGCCACGCGAGAGUGGGCUACCCUACGGCAGGACGCCAAGCGCAUAGAAAAUCUCAUCGCCCUCUUCCGGCACCAACCUUCAGGGGAGUUCCGUGUGAUGUACUGGAGAAACAACUCUAUGGAGUUAAUCUGUCGGCAGGAGUAUUACAUGCUCACGGUGGGAACCAACAAUUCAUGGCGCGUCGAUUGUCCGUUAACAGAGGUUUUGGCCGAGGAACCAUCCAUCUUUGGCGCGCCGGUCCUUCUCAAUGGCAGCCUGCACAUACACUGGAGGAGACAGUCAGGUGUCCACUACCACAGGAUACGGGUGUUUGACACAGUGGCAGAGACGUCGCGGCUAAUGAUUCCGCCUCCUGUGAACCCCUGCCAUGUUAUGCACUUGCUUGACCAGGGUGGCAAGCUUGCUGCGUCCACCAGCAACGAUGGCAUGACUGGGAUGUCCAUCUUUGUGCUGCAGGACCCCGAGCACGAUGUCUGGUCGUUCCAGUACCGGAUCAAACUGCCCGUGAUGGAAAUCAGGCGCUUCCAGGAGCAAGGUGAUUGGUGGGCGAAGGUUGUCUCCGAGGAGGGGGACGUGCUUGUCAGCUGCUGCGGCCAUCUCCUACAAUGUGACAAGAAGGGUAAUUUGGUAGCUAAGUUCAAGUAUGAUGAUGACAUGCCGAUGGUCAUUCCUCACAAGUUCAAAGAGAGUCUUAUCCAGCAUACAUUUUUCCAAAAGACAAAGAACAAGAAUUGAUUUGUACCCACUCCUGGAUAUCUGAUUUCGCGCCAUGUUAAAUCUAAGUAAGUUUUUAUGCUACUUCUAAACUAUAACUAGCACAGUGUCCAUGCAAUUGUGCGGGAAACGCCUUUAAUCAUCUUUAUUAUAUUAUUUAUGCAUUAUCAUGUUAUUUAUAAGAACAGAAGCUCAGAAAUGAAUAUGCAUGCUACUCAUAUUUUCUAUUUGAUUACUAGAUCGGUAUGUAGAAUUAAAGCUGACAUUAAAAGCUACCUGAUGUAGUUGGGAAGACUCUUUUAUGUGGUAUAAUUACACAAAAUUAGUCUUUGGAUCAUUACGUGGUUGGUCAUUUGCACAUGAUAUUGAUAUAUUAAUAUGCAUAACUAAUAGAGCCCAGAAUUUUCUGAAUAUGUUAUAGAGCGGGGCUGCAUGGUCAUCUGUAUUGGACCUACAUUUUUUUUGCGUGUGUAUGAUAUCAGAUCACUACACUGGAAUAAAGUUCAGAAUAGGAGCCGGCCGAUUGUUUAUACGGGCUAUAUAUAUUUGAUCAGUACACGUAAGAUGGCACUACCGGGUCAUUUGUUGGUUUGCGUAUUAUGCGAUUCAUCAUCGUACGUGUGAUACUAUGUAUCAAUAUACGGAGUUAAGGUACAUAUCAUGGGUUGUUGGACUUAAACCUCAAUUAUGUAUUGAAUGAGUAUAAGGUUAUAAAUAUUACUAGUAUCAGCCAAUAAUAUUUAAUUUAAGUCCAAAAGAUUGAUUAUCUGGUCAUGUUAACUACAGUUGGCAAUCUACCAUUUGGGGUUCACCAUAAUAAGGACCUACCAGAUCAGAUGUCUAAUGGUCUUUAGGGUGUAGUUAUGGAAUUUAUCGGUCGUGACCUACUUUGGUAUAGUUAUGAAGAUUUAUAACUUUGGUAUAGUUAUGAUGAUUUAUCGGUCGUGACCUACUUUGGUAUAGUUAUGAUGGUCUAAAAGAUUGAUUAUCUGAUCAUGUUAAUUACAGUUAUGGCAAUCCACCAUUUGGGGUUUAUCAUAAUAAGGACCUACCAGAUUAGAUGUCUAAGGAUCUUUAGGUGUAGUUACAUAAUUUAUCGGUCAUGACCUACUUUGGUAGUUAUGAAGAUUUAUCACCUAUGUUCAAGAGCAGUUGUUGAUGAUCCAUUGGUUAUGAUAUGUGUGGUUAUAAUUAUGACAAUUUAUUGGUGUGAUUUUAGGUAAUCUAUUAGGUACUAUAAUGAUGACUAUCGACUACCCUAACUUUGUAAAAACCCUAAGCACAAUAUACUUAAUAAUUAGUUUGCAGUAUGUUUUCACUGAGUUAUUAUCUUUAUUUGUUAGUAGCACACUUUGAACCUAUGUCAUUGUGCUGCUAACCAAUAAUAUAUUUUUGUGUGUAUUUAUAAAGGUCUAUGGGUUUCCCUGAAAAAAAUGGUCUUUCGGUUGUAAGCUUAUAAAUAUUUAUUAUUAUGAUUUAUCAAUUGCCGUCUGUUCAGGAUAAUGGUGAGGUGGUCUGAACACGUCGACCAGAUGGAUCUUAAUUAUUACUAAGAAUUAUUUUUUUCAUGCAAGAGCUUUCUGUGGUAUCAUUCACUCUUUUAGUGAGAUUUAUAGCUGUCAUCUAAUUAUAGAAGCAGCUAAUAGUGGGCAGCCAUUUAUGUGGGACGAAACCUGCUGGACCAUUACAACAAUAAAGUCGAUUUAUUGCAACUUUCUUGCUUAGCAAUAUUGAAAUAUCAAAACUUUGAAAUUGACUUUGGACUUAUAGAAAAUGGAUAGUCUGUUCAUUUUGUAUCUUCUGAUUUUGAUCGUACCGCUGAGGUCUACUUAUCCCCAUAUUCACUGAUUCAUGUCAGCCAGAAAAUUGAUACAUUCAGUUUAUGUUGUUGCGAACUCAUAUGAUUUUUUUAUGGAAGACACGCAUUUUUUUGUGAUUACAGACACAUUUACAUUUUAUUCAUAUAAAUAAAUGAUUACAUCUUUUGUGUUUUGCACAUUCAGAAUUUCUGUCAGUUGCUUUGCCGUUCAUGAUGUAUGAAGCUAACAUUAGGUUUGAAGCUUUCACUUGUCAGCUGCUGUGGCCAUCUCCUACAAUGUGACAAGAAGGGUAAUUUGGUAGCUAAGUUCAAGUAUGAUGAUGACAUGCCGAUGGUCAUUCCUCACAAGUUCAAAGAGAGUCUUCUCCAGCAUACAUUUUUCCAAAAGACAAAGAAGAAGAAUUGAUUCGCACACACUCCUGGAUAUCUGAUUUCGCGUCAUGUUAAAUCUAAGUAAGUUUUUUAAGCUACUUCUAAAUUAUAACUAGCACAGUGUCCAUGCAAUUGUGCGGGAAACACCUUUAAUCAUCUUUAAUUUAUUAUUUAUGCAUUAUCAUGUUAUCUAUAAGAUAACAAGCUCAGAAAUGAAUAUGCAUGCCACUCAUAUUUGCUAUUUGAUUAUUAGAUCCGUACAUAGAAUUAAAGCUGAGAUUAAAAGCUACCUGAUGUAGUUGGGAAGACUCUUUUAUGUGGUAUAAUUACGCAAAAUUAGUCUUUGGAUCAUUUAAGUGGUUGCUCAUUUGCACGUGAUGUUGAUAUAUUAAUAUGAAUAACUAAUAGAGCCCACAAUUUUCUGAAUAUGUUAUAGAGCCGGGCUGGAUGGUUAUCUGUAUCGAACCUACAUUCUUUUUGCGUGUGUAUGAUAUCAAACCACUGCACGGAAAUAGAGUUCAGAAUAGGAGCCGGCCGAUUGUUUAUACGUGAUAUAUAUAUAAUGGAUCAGUACACGUAGAUAAAGAUUGCACUACCGGGUCAAUUGAUGUUUUGUGUAUUACGCGAUUCAUCAUCGUACGUGUGAUACUAUAUAUAUCAAUAUACGGAGUUAAGGUACAUAUCAUGGGUUGUUGGACUUAAACCCCUAUUAUGUAUUGAAUGAGUAUGAAGUUACAAAUAUUAUGUGUAUCAGUCGAUAAUAUUUAAGGUCUAAAAGAUUGAUUAUCAGGUAAUGUUAAUUACACUUAUGGCAAUCCACCAUUUGGGGUUUAUCAUAAUAAGGACCUACCAGAUCAGAUGCUUAAGGAUCUUUAGGUGUAGUUACGGGAUUUAUCGGUCAUGACCUACUUUGGUAGUUAUGAAGAUUUAUCAGCUAUGUUCAAGAGCACUUAUUGAUGAUCCAUUGGUUAUGAUAUGUGUGAUUACAAUUAUGAAAAUCUAUUGGUGUGAUUUUAGGUAAUCUAUUGGUAAUGAUGACUAUCGACUACCCUAACUUUGUAAAAACCCUAAGCACAAUAUACUUAAUAAUUAGUUCACAGUGUGUUUUGACUGAGUUGUUAUCUUUAUUUGUUAGUAGCAUAAUUUGAACCUAUGGCAUUGUGCUGCUAAGCGAUAAUAUCUUUUUGUGUCUACUUAUGAAGGUCUAUGGGCUUCCGUAAAAAAAGGUCUUUCGGCUGUAAGCUUAUAAAUAUUUAUUAUUAUGAUUUAUCAAUUGUCAUCUGUUCGGGAUAAUGGUGAGGGAGUCCGAACACGUUGACCAGAUGGAUCUUAAUUAUUACUAAGAUUUUUUUUUUCACGCAAGAGCUUUCUGUGGUAUCAUUCACUCUUUUAGUGAGAUUUAUAGUUGUCAUCUAAUUAUAGAAGCAGUCAAUAGUGGGCAGCCAUUUAUGUGGGACGAAACCUGCUGGACCAUUACAACAAUAAAGUCGAUUUAUUGCAACUUUCUUCCAUAGCAAUAUUGGAAAUAUCAAAACUUUGAAAUUGGCUUUGGAUUUUCAUCAACGCAGUAUAGAUAAUGGAUAUUGUCUGUUCAUUUUGUAUCUUCUGAUUUUGAUUGUACCGCUGAGGUCUACCUAUCCCCAUAUUCACGGAUUCAUAUCAGCCAGAAAAUUGAUACAUUCAGUUUAUGUUGUUGCGAACUCAUAUGAUUUUUUUUAUGGAAGACAUGCAUCUGUUUGUGAUUACGGGCACAUCUACAUUUUAUUCAUAUAAACAAAUGAUUAUAUCUUUUGUGUUUUGCACAUUCAGAAUUUUUGUCAACUUUGCCGUUCAUGAUGUAUAAAGCUAACCUUAGCUUUGAAGCUUUCACUGAAUUGUUAUGUGGGAACACUUGGAUCACUGGGUGCACUAUUAUAGUUAUAAACAAGAUUGUUGUUCCGUCCAGACUCUAUGCUGCAAGUAAUUUGCAAGACUGACAAAUUCGAUUGAUUAAUUCCGUUAUCAUCAAUCUGAGCCUCUUGCGGGUUGAUGCCUCUUUUGUUUCAACUCCUUAAAUGCAGAUAGACCAAUAAGGGCAAUAAAGGAUUAGGAAUAGGAAAUAGUACCGCGAUCUGUGUCCCACUCUGUUCAGCUGUUUGGUUUAGGGCGGGCAGCAGUGUGUACUCUUAUUCGAGCCGGCUAUUCAAUCCCACUGUUGAGAUGAUAUUUGAAUGUUGGGUUAGUGUUAUGCAAAAAAAAUAUUUAUUUCGGUUGUUUACAGUUGGUGCUACAACCUCAGUGAGAUAUCCUCCCAGUAUAUGAAUAUCUUGCUUUAAGCUUACCCCUGCAUAGACCUAAACUGUCCAUGGAUAUAAAUUUGACUUCAAGGCUUUUAAGCUUCAACACAUUCAUCUUGUUUAACUUAGUGAACCUGAUUCUUAGUCUGGCUCUAUUUUGCUUCUUUCAGGCGAUGCUGGAGUACCUCAAAUUGUGCAAUAUGUCUAGGAGAUGAGAAGAUUGAUCUGUAUGUUCACCUCCCCCAACUUGCUUGGGACAAAAGGCUUUGUUGUUGUUGUCAUUUUUGUUCUUGUUGUUGUUGUUGUUGUCGUCAUCGUCGUGGUUGUCGUCGUUGUCGUUGUUGUUGUCGUCGUGGUUGUUGUUGUUCACCUUUUCCGUUUAUCAACUCAUGUGAAAGGUCGAGGCACUGGCGAUGUUGAAGUAGUUCAAUUCUCGCGCCUAUGUGUAGGUGUCCUCUGCUCCAGUUAUGUUCAACUGUCCUGUUCGCCCAGCGCAACUUGCCUGGGACAAAAUGUUUUGUUGUUGUUCAACUCUCCUGUUUAUCAACUUAUGUGAAAGGUUUAGGAUCCUAUUUUGCCAUAUAUGUGAUGUGUGUUUGUUUAUCAGCCUAUGUUACCAGGGUUC
rnacentral:lncRNA from 1 species